UCAAAUAGUGUUAAAUUCUUCAAAGUGUUUGAUUAAACCUAAACAGUGGCACACAAGUCUCCAAACAAUAAAAAAUUCACCAUAUUCAUCUCCAUAUUCACUAAAGUACUCCAAAUAGGUUAAUGAGAAUUCGGACAUGUGUCCCAAACUAAAACAAUAAUAAAACUACAAAAUAAAUAAUAAUAAAAAUCCAAAGAUAACUAUUUGGGGAAUAAAGCCACUUCAAUGAUCAAAGUUAAUUCAUUGUUGGAAUAUUCACUAUAUGAGCACUUCAGUAAGUGAGAUUGAGAAAACAAAUAAGAAGACUUAACAAAUUUGUAAAAAUCAACCUUUUACUUACAACUUUGAUAUGACCUGAAUGAGAGCUUGCACAGAGGGGAGGAGUACCUUAGGCCUUAAGAGUAGUAAAGGAAUAGAAGUAGUUAUGUUAGUUACUUAUUUGAGGAGUUACAGUUUAGCCCUUGCUUUAUAUUUCACUUAUGUCCAUUAGUUAUUUACUUUACACUUUAGUCCCAUCUAGGAGAGAAUUUGUAAGUGUGUAAUGGUAUUUCAUUGUUCUUAUGAAAUGAAAUCCUCUUAGCUUUAGUUUCUGCAAAUUCUAUUUCUGUUUUUCUUCAAAACCACAUCAAUGGUAUCAGAGCACUUUCUGCUCUAUGGGAUAACGAGAUGUUGGGAGAAAUUAAUGAGGUACUUAAUCGAUUAGAUCGAGUGGCCAUUGAAGUCGCUAAUGUCAACCUUAGGCAGAAUCAGCUGAAAUCUGACAACGAGAAGGCUUUUCGUGAGCUCAAGGAGACGCUUACGGCCGGAGGUAGCUCGAGUCGAGGGAAAGAAACAAGUUCAAUGGUGUCCAAUCGAGAAGAUCAGUACUCCCCUACUGAUGGGCCCUUUGGAAUUUUAGGUAUUGAUGAUCCUAUCUCUUUCCCUCCAUGAAUUCCAACUCUAGAGGGAGUAGACCCAUGGAACUUCAAUUACCUCUUAGCCGGAACCCUAGCUCCAGUCAAAUUCCUCGUCCCCAACCCUACGUACCCUGUUUCACUUCAUUUACCCACUACACAACAAUUAAUCUCAUCUUCUCCAGCUGUACCAUUCAUUUCGACUCAGAACACAAACCCCACAUCAACCUCAAACUCCACCUUCCAAUUCCAUCCAAUUACUGCUCCAAACUCCCAGUAUUCUACUCAAACGAUGUGAGCGAAUGGCCAGAUUUCUUGCUCCAUCCCAUGUUCCAUCACUAACCCAGUACAUAUACCCAUUUCCCAGAAUCAAAUUCUAAACCAUCUGCCUACACCUCAUAUUCCACACCAGUUCACCUUGUACCCAGAAUAUUACAACCCCUGUAUGAACAAUCAACAACCACGCUCCAUUCUGAGGCAAUACAGAAUUAGAUUCCUAAGAUUUGGGGGAAAAGGAUUCCAGGAUUGAUGGUACCAAAUAGAACAAUCUUUUUCAAUGGAUGAGGUUCCUCAUCAGGAGAAGGUAAAGAGGACCCCCAUGCAUUUAGAUGAUUUAGCUACAAUGGCAUCAGGCUUAUAUGAGGGGUAGGGCUCAUUUUCAACUUCCUUUUCCAAGUUGGGAUGAGUAUAUUUGGGCUUUGUCAGAUAGGUUUGAUGCUGAAUUUGAUGAACCUAUGAGUGAAUUGGUCAAAUUAAAGCAAACAUGAGGAGUGGUGGGGUUUCAAGAGUCUUUUGCUCGAGCCAUGACUACGCUCAAUCUAGAACCAAGUUAUGCUAUUAGCAUAUUUAUGGAAGGACUUAAGCUUGAGUUGGGAGAUGCAGUGAGAAUCCUUAAACCAUAUUUCUUGCCCCAAGCUUAUCAUCUGGCUAGACUCUAAGAGUCUAUAUUCAUUAAACAAUCCAAAGCCAUGAAGCUAGCCAUUCUAUAGUCAAGUCCCAGACCCAAUCAGUUCUUACAGUUUAAUAGACCCUCAACUUUCCCUGCUAAUCAUUUACCUAAACCAACCCAACCAGUGGAGGCUGAUAAGUUUAAAAGGAGAAGGUUAACACCAGCAACAUUGAUAGGUGAGAUUUUGAUAUAGGGGUCAGAAUGGAAUUAUGGAAGUUGUAGUAGGUCCGCUGUGUCAUUUGGGAUGUGUGUGCAAAAUUUCAGGUCAUUCGGACGUGGUUUGGUAGAUUUUUUGAUCGAAAGCGGAAUUUAGAAGAUUUUGGAAUUCUUAGGCUCGAAUCUGAUGCAAAUUUGGUGUUUUGAUGUUGUUUUGAGCAUUCUGAAGGUUGUAACAAGUUUGAAUGAUGUUAUGGGAUAUAUUGGCAUGUUUUGUUGAGGUCCCGGGGGCCUUGGGUGAGUAUCGGGUGGUCAAUCAGACCAUUUCAAGAUGUCUGGAAUUGCAGAAAAUUGCAGAUCAGUGUUGCAGAGAAAUGACCUUCGCAUUCGCGAGUGGGUUCUCGCGUUCGCAAAGGGUUAGUUGGUGAAGGCUGGGAUUUAAGCCUUCGCAUUCACGAGGAAGGCUACGUGUUCGCGAAGGGCUGGGUGUUUGACCAUCGCGUUCGUGUGAAGUGGACCGCGUUCGCGUAGAGGAAUUUGGUCAGCUGGACUUGCGGUAUUUUAUUCAUAGUGUUCGCGAGAGGGGUAACACGAUCGCGAAGAGUGGAGACCUAGAAUUUGGGAUUUGAGGGUCCAUUUAUGGUUGGAUUUUGAUGCUUUUGGCAUGAAUGAACUCGCGGAGCAAUAAAGAAUCCAUUGAUGUGAAUUUUAUCGGAAUCCGAGACGUGGCGGGGGUCAGGUUUUGGUAAUUUCGGGAUUUGUGUUGUAAAUUGAUUAUUUUUGCUUGGGCUUCAUUACCUUAGCAUAUUUUGACGUCGUGAUUCUGAUUUUGGAUAGAUUCAACGCGAGUGGAGGCCGAUUCGAGGGGCAAAGGCAUCGCGGGCUAGAGUUUGGACCGAAUUGAGGUGAGUAAUGAUUGUAAAUGAUAUCCUGAAGGUAUAAAACCCCGGAUUUGCACAUUGUUGUGCUAUAUUGAGGUGACGCACAUGCUUGAUGACGAGCGUGGGGUCCUGAACUAUUGGGGAUCAUGACCUAGUCCGUCCCGAAUGAUUAUUUUACCGCGUAUUUGACUGAAAUCUAUUUGGUAUCAUCAUGUUUUGGGCUGAACGCCAUAUUUGGGCCUCGUGCCAACUAUUAUACUUGAACUCAGUCAUGCUAUAUUCCAUUGUUUUCAUAACUCAGCCAUAUUUACUCUGUUUUAACACUUAAGUGAUCUAUUAAAUGAUAUUUUGGGCUGAGAAUCAUGUUUCACUAUUGUCCGAGUGACUUGUGAGGAUUUUGACUGAGUAAGGCCGAGGGCCUAUGUUGUGAGAAAACACUGAUUAUGAUUAUGAGGUCGAGGGCCUGAGAUAUGUACGCCACGAGGUGACUUGUUGAUAUGAGAUCGAGAGCCUAGUGAUGAUGCCACAAGAAGGCUUGAUAUUGCGCUUGGGCCAUAAGGGGCCCCUCCAGGAGUCUGCACACCCCUAGUGAGUGCGAGUACCCAUUGUGAUGUGAGAUGUAGCCCGAGGGGCUGGUAUUGUUCUGAGAUAUUGCCCGAGGGGCGGAGUUGUUGACAUUGUGCCCGAGGGGUGAACCCUUAUGUGUUUAGCUUUCUUAUUUGUUUGUCAUUACUUAUUUAAUUGUUGAAAAGGUAUUUCAUGAAGUUUAAACCGAACUUAAAUGACUUUACAUAUCCUUACUGAUUCACUGUUUUUAUUGUUUUUACUGCUUCAUUAUAGCUUGUAAUGUGCCUUACAUGUUUUCAUACUUCUCAGUCAUUUAUUUAUGAUUAUUACUCACUGAGUUGGAGUACUCACUUUACUCUCUGCACCCCGUGUGCAGAUUCAGGCAUUGCUGAUCCUGCCAGCGCGAGUUGAGAGCUCCCGACAGACUUUAGAGUCCACGAGGUAGCUGCUUGGCGUCCGCAGACCCGUGUUUCUCCCCCAUUUAUCUCAUUUCUAUCUCUUUAUCGUUUGUUCUGUAAUAGUUUAGUAGGAAUUUUAGACUUGUAACGUAUUGUUAGAUGCUUAUGACUAGUGACACCCUGGUAUUGGGCUGUGUUGGAUUUUAUUUCCGCAAUUGUAAUGUUCACUGCUUACCUUUGGGUUAUUUAUUAUGUUUUAGACUUAAUUCUUAUUGUUUAAUUACUUAAAAAUUGAAAUGGAAAAGUGUCGGCUGGCCUUGUCUUCACGAGAGGCGCCAUCACGACCGGGUCUGGGUUUAGGGUCGUGACUUUAUCCUAGGAGAAAGAUUCAUUAGACUAAGUUUCUUAUCUUAGAAGAAAGAUUCAUCAGACUAAGACUUCUAUCCUAUGAGAAAAAUUCAUCAUACUAUGUUCUUAUCUUAGGAGAAAGAUUCAUCAAACUAAGAUUUCUAUCCUAGGAGAAAAUUCAUCAGACUAGGUUUUCUAUCUUAGGAGAAAUUCAUCAGACUAAGAUUUUUAUUGGGAGAAAUCCAUCAGACUAAGACUUUUUAUCCUAGGAGAAAAAUGUGAAGAGAAAUGGGAACAUUUUAUGUACACUAGCAAGACAGAUAAAAGAAAAAAUUUGAGAAACUUCCCUUUGUCGGCUCUUCUCCUUUUUUUUUUUUGGUUUUUGAACCAACUUCCUUGCACUGCUUUGUUCCUGUUUCAAACAAAGAAAAUUUUAUCAGUUUUAAAAGUGGUGGUCGUUUUGUGGCUUUGAGUCUUGGGUAGCUUGGCUUUUGCUCAAUCAGCUUGAGUCAAUUUCAAGAGACUUUUGCUCUACAUCAACCUUGAUUGUUUCACACCCAAUACCAUUUAUAUUUGUGGCUCAAUCAACCUUAUCAACUGGACAUCUUUGCUUAGGUGAACUUUUCUGAUAUCUUGAAUGACUUCCUUCUUUUUGAGCAAUUUGUCUAUCAAAGAGAAUCACCAGUUAUCUUUGCUUGCGCCAAGUAGGCUGAUAAGGGUCUUUUGGGGGACGCCUUUGCAUGAAUCCUCAAGGCAUGUUGAAAGUAACAACUAAGUGUGUUAGCCAAAUUUACUUUGUGCAACUGAAAAGCUGGAAGCAGAUUUUGAAAUCUUUUCUUGCUUGUUUUGACAAGGACGAACUCAGAGUGAAGGACAGAAUAAUGCAAAAAAACAAUAUUAACAAGAAAUGCCACUAUCGGGAAGGAUAGAAGGAAGUUUUUUUUUCAUUUUUUUCAAUAACUAGCCUUAAUGAUCAUGACAUGCAUUUUGGACUUAACGGCCUACUUUAUCAAACUAAUCUAAUCUUCUCUUUUACCAUUCUUAUGACCUUUGAAGUCAGGCUUGUUCGUGUCAAUUCUUUGCAUUAGCUUCACGACUCACUAUUGCCUAGCGGUGCCCCGAGGGGUUUUCACCAACAAGUCUCUCUCAUUUAUUCAUCUCUACUUAUCAUCACCUUACAGUGUCCGUGAGGGUUUUCACUAGUAAGACUCUCUCAUUUUUUUCUUUUAUUUUUAUUUUUCUUUUGCUUGGCAUUCUCAGAACUGAUCAGGAGGUCUUGUUUGGAAGACUUUUGGAUAUGGUUAGAAAGAAAUGACGGCAUGAAGGCUCACAGUAGACUCAAAAUAAGAGGUUGUAUACUUACAACUCUUGGAAUCGACUCUUUCAAAAGUGAAAUAAAAUCUUUGCCCCGAUUUCAGAUAUUGGAGAUUUUUGGAUUUUUUUUGAAUUCUUAUUUGGUUGGACCGAACCAUGUAAGGCUGCCUACGUAUCCUUUUUAAAGGAAUCAGGUCAAACGUAGUUCAAACAUUUGACGUAACCAUUUUUCAUCUUUCUUUCUUUGUCUUAGUCUCUUUUUAUUUUCUUUUUUUUUUCAAAAUAAGUUGCCCCAGUUUUUAUUUUCCGGGGGCAUGAACCUUUGACUGUUCUUUUCUUCGUUUCUUUUUUCACUUGAAAUUUCUAAGUGUUGCCUCAGUUUGUACUAUUGGGGCAUGGACUUUUCUUUCAUUUUUUUUUCAUUUCAUUUUUUUGACUUUUGACUCUAAACUUGAUUCCAAAAUAGGGUGGUCAAAGAAAAUAACACAGACUCAAAAGGGGUAACAAAGGGAAUAAAGUGUUUGGCUCCCAGCCUCGAGAACGCCAAGCAUAGUAUCUUUUUACGAUCACAACAUUGACGAACAUGUAUGUCUUCUUGGUGUGUCGUGGUCACAAGACACUUUCCAUCCCUUAAUAUCAAACUUUCCAACAAACUUCAAUUGAUUAUUGUUCAACCAGAUCUUCAUAAUGAUUUUGAAGGUAAAGAUCCUUAACCUCCACUAAUAUAACUAUUCUAGUUCCACUUGAAUUUUACUCGGGCUUAAUUCCAAGGUAUUUCAACUCUUUUUCAUCCUCAAAAGUGUCUUUUUCUCAGUUGUCCAAUUCAAGCUUAAAUCAAUUUUCUAAGAUCUGGCCAAAAAUUCUGCAUGCAUGUCAUAUCACUAAAACUAGCGGGAAAAAAACUGAGCAUAGAAUGACACAAAAGGAAAAACUCUAUUUUAUUGAGUAAACAAUAAGACAAACAACCUAAAAUCCGAGUUACAACCCUAAAAUAACCCGGAUAAUGAAAAUAGCAACAAAAUAGACAGACAAGACUCACACAAACAGAAUAGAGUGAUAGAAGGGUUUGACUCAAUAUAACAAAUAAAAUCUGGAUGACAACCCUGAAGUAACCCAGAUAAUAGAAAAAACAUCAAAACAAGCUACCAAGAUUCCUUCCUAGUGAGGAGGGAAUGACUUUUCAAUUGCUAGGCUUGACCUUUAGCCACAUAUUUGCUCAUCAGAAUCAGCAGGGCCUUCUCCAAUUUCAAAAUCAUUAACUUCAGCCAACAAGUUCCUGAGAGGAUUCUCAUACUCCCUGUCACCACGCAUCAUCCCCCACAAAAUGUGCAUCAUCAUGUGCAAGUAAAGGAUUCUGCAUGAUAUUUUAGGUGUCAUUGUCUUGGAUCACAAUCAGUUUUUCCUGGAUCAUCCUUUCUAUUUCUUUUUUCAAAUCCCGACAACUUUCAAUAUUGUGCCCCUGGGCAUUGGAAUGGUAUUCACACCUUUUAGAAGGGUCAAAGCUUCUUGCACGUAGGUCCACAUGAUUUGGAGGAAUAGGUGCUAUCAUGUCAUAAUGCUUUAAUUUCUCAAACAAGCUUGCAUAAGACUCUCCUAUUGGUGUAAAAUUAUCUUUCAACAUGUGUUCCUCUCUAUAUCCCUACCUUGGAUGUGGGUUAUAGGGAACUUGAAAUUUUUGUGGAGGCUGGUGGAGAUUUUGUGAUGCUCGUGCUCGCCUUCUGGGGUGUUUUGGUGGCUAGACAACAUACUGAGGUGGAGCAAUAGAGUAUUGUGGGUUCUGAGGUGGAUAGUACUGCUCAGGGGAAUCGUCGCAAACCAGACAAGACUGCUCAUACCUUCGAGAUGUUCUCCUAGGGCCUCUUUUCGACCCUGAUGUCAUCAUGGUUUCUUCAUCCUUCUCAUUCGUGUCACUGAAAUUAUCAGAUUCAAUUUGGACAGCUUGAUUUGCGGCUUUGAGAACUGCUUGACUUAUAAUUCUGCCUGUCUUAAGGCUAUUCUCAACCAUUUUCCCAAUUUUGAUUGCUUUCGAGAAGGAUUUGCCCACUGCGGAUAUCAUGUUUUAAAAAUAAUCUGGCUCUUGAGCCUAAAGGAAGACAAUGAUUAGCUCGUGGUCAUCCAUGAAUGGCUUAACUAUAGCCGCUUUCUCUCUCCAUUUAAUGGCAUAUUCUCUGAAAUUUUCAGUUAGUUUCUUCUUCAGGUUUGAAAGGAAAUUGCGGUCUGGGGCAAUGUCGAUGUUUUAUUGGAACUACUUGACAAAGGCCUGGGCCAUGUCAUCCCAGACAUGCCAGUGAGAGGUGUCUUGAUCAGUAAACCAUACAGAGGCUACCCCUGUCAGGAUUUCCCCAAAAUGAGCCAUUACUAGUUCUUCUUUUCCUUCCACACCUCUUAGUUGAUUGCAAUACCUUUUCAGGUGAGCUAUAGGGUCUCCAUGUCCAUCAUGCUUUUCAAAUUUGGGAGUCUUGAAACCAGGUGGCAAACGAACAUCAGGGAACAUACAUAGAUCCUUAAAGGCUAUUAUCUUCUGACUUGCCAACCCUUGCAUGUUUUUCAACUGUUGUUCUAAGCUUUUCACUUUGUGGAUCAUUUCUUCCUGUGCCAUCCUUCGGGCAGGCUUCUCAGUCUUUGCAGGAAGAUCAAAUAGGUACGAGUGGUAAUCAAGAGAGUGGUACUGUUCUUGUUGGAUAGCAAAUUGUGACUCAUGAGUUUUUCUCUGCACCACAGUCGGUUGUGGGAUGGUGAAGACUGGCAUAACAGUAGUGGUUAUUUGAUUGGUUGUCAAUGGCACACCUUGGGAGCGCACAACAGAAGUUCCAGCUGUAGUCGUACAGUUGGGAUAAGUACUGAACCCAGGGGGAUAAGAUUGAUCAGACAAUGAGACCGAAAUGGCAGUAGUCGAGAUGGGUGUAAACUCUGGGAAACCAUGAGAAGAAAAGGGUGGUCCUUGGCCAUUGUCCCAUGCUUGAUACAUUUCAGUCAUUUUUGUUUCAGUACUCUAUUUUCCUCAACCACAGUAGACUCUUGUUGAACCCUCUGACCCUGAGUCUCAUGACUGCUUGCAACAGCUUCGAUGUCAGUUGUCAUUUUUUCCUUUGGAUUUUGUGUUGUUAGCUUACCACAAACCGACCACCUCAACUUUCUUCACAAUUCAAAAUAAAAACAUGUUAGAAUUGACUCAGUCGGUCCUUAUUAUUAUCAUUCGUCCUCUUUUUUUUCACCUUUUCUUCUUCUUUUUCAAAAUCAUUCGAUCAAACCUGAUGUGAUUUGCCUAUGUAUCAUGUGGGAACAUGAAUCAGAUCUUGCGUAAUUCGGAAAGAUCAGGAUUAAAGAAAAUAAACUAACUCUUUUUUUUUAUUUUGAAUUUUUUUUCCAAAAGAAAGACUUAUAAAGAAGAAAGAAAAUAUUUUUGGAUUUUAAAUUUUUUUUUUAGGAAUUUUAAAAGAAAAACUUCUAAAAAAGAAAGAAAAUAUUUUUGAAUUUUUGCUUUUAUGUUAAAAUUAUGAAAGAAAGACUUCUAAAGAAAAUAUUUUUGAAUCUUGAAUUUUUUUUUCAAUUUUUGAAAGAAAAACUUCUAAAGAAGAAUGAAAAUAUUUUGGAUUUUUAGAAAAAAUUAAAAGAAAAUAUUUUUGGAUUUUUUUUUAAAUUGGGGUCUCAAAGAAAGACUUUUCUAAAAAAGGAAUUAAAGGAACAUAUUUUUGGAUUUUUGAAAAUUGAGGGUCGGAACCGAUAAGGUUUGCCUACGUAUCUCACAUCCGGUGAGAAUCAGACUCGCGUAGUUCGGUUAGUUUUGACGGAACAGGGGAAACAUGACUUUUGAAAACAAUCACUUAUUUUCUUUCUCUUUGUUUUUGUUUGAAAAUUUGGCAGAGUUUUGGAUUAGCUACCUCUCACUCUUGAUUUUUUUUUUUUCUGAUUUUCUUCUUUUUUCGAUUUUUUUUCCUAUUCUAGCAGCUAGUCAACAUGCAAGCCGAAACAAAUAGAUACGCAAAUAGCACGUAAGAUGCAUCAGGAUGGUCUUUUAAUUUGGGUAUACCUGUCCUAGACGGACUCAACCUCUAUGUUGAGCUCCAAAGUCAAAUGCACAUGAUGCAAACAAACAUACCUACUAGGGAUCCGACAUGAGGCAAUGUCAUUCUAAGUUUAGAACCUAGGUGUAUUAUUCUAGAACUGGCUUACCCGAGUGGACAGUUCGAGCCGGGAGGGGGUGGGAGAGAGGGGGGAGGGCAACAUACCGGGAAUACAGAAGCUUCACCGGCUUUGCAACUUGUUCGAACCUCAUUCUAAUAUUGGGAUAUGACUCUAACAGAAAAGAAGCCGCGCGAAGCGCACGCUCCCCAAAAGAUUUAGAAGACUUAGAGAGAAGAAGUGUUUCUUAACAAUUUUAUAUACAGUUCAAUCAAUAUCAAAGCGGUAAAAAGCGGCAUUUAACACAUUAGGCUCAAACAUGUAAAAAAAUCAUAUAAUAAACAAAAGCCAACUAUAACAAUUAUUCUAAGCUUGAAUUCUGAACCUUGAACCAGAGAUUCUGGGUUCAAUCCCCAGCAGAGUCGCCAGAGCUGUCACACCUCCUUUUUCUUGAGGGGAUAGGGAGUUUUUUCAAUUAAAGUGACGUUAAUCGAAAUGGAAUUAUUUAUUGAUUCAGAGUCGCCAUUUGAGAUAAUUAUAUAGUGUCACAAGUCACCGGUUUGUUUUGAAUCCCAAAUCGAGGAAAGUUUGACUCUGUUUAAAAGUCCGCAAAACCAGAAGACCGGGUAAGGAAUUAUAUUAACUCGAGAGAAGGUGUUAGGCAUUCUCGAGUUUCGUAAUUUUAGCACGGUCUCUCAACUAUUAAUAAUUGGCCUAAUUAUCUUAUUUAUUACAUAUUUAAAGCCUAUUGUGCAUUUCGUCGUUUUAAUCGCUUUUAAUUAUCUAUUAACCACUUUUCAGUUUUUUGGGAUUUGUUUGAACAAGUCGCGAUGUCGCGCACUCGUUUAUUUUGUACACAUUGCGAAUCGCGUCACGAGAAUCGUACCCGCGACCUACAACAUGUUUAUUUUAUUAUUAUUCGAAAUUAUGGUCGGGUCACAUGAAAUACACAUCUGAAUUGAGAUUUACGUAUCGUGAUCAUACCACGGGAACCGUACCCAUGACCACGUAAUUUAUUUUAGGCGCCUAAAGCAAGCUACAAAUGUUUAUAACCAUUAUUGAUUCAUGAAACAAUAUAUUGCCAAGUCAAGAAUUUUAUUAGAACUACAGGCUAAAAGAAAGAAAAAAAAUCGUUGAAAGACUUUAAAACAUCAUUCACAAAGAAACAAAAAAAAAAAAAAAGGAAACUCUCACAUGGGUAAUUGAACCUGACUAUGACCAAGCUAAACUACAAUAUUCUAAAACAAAAGCCUGAUUGUUGUUCUUCUUUAAUAGCACAAUCACAUAAUAUCAAUGAGCCAACACAUCCAAGUUUCAGAACCAACAACCUUAUAAGUAACAAAUAUUCAGUCAAAUAAUACCAUGAGCUUACUUAUGAAGAACGAGAAAACAGUUAUAUGGAAGCUUGGGUAAUUCUCAAUGAAUUAAUCAUGAACGCAAUAACUUCCAUCAGAGAAGGAAAAAUCAAUCAAAGCUCUAACAUAAUUUUAAACUGACAUCUCUGCAAUAUGACAUUAGCUGAGUUUUCAGAAAGUCUGUUGGGUUCCGAUUCGAUUAUAUGAAGCUUAAACAAACGGGCUCACAUAAUGACAUUUAAACAAUAAAUUCAAACAACAAAUCCAACGAAACAAAGAGAAAGUUGACAUAAAAAUGGAUAUGAUUAUGUAUUUAAUCAGAUAUGAAAAUAACAAGGACAUACCUAGUUACACGAGGAUUAAUUUUUAAAAGAAAGAAUGUCAAAUGGAGGCUGAAAUCAAUAGCGAAUCAGAACUCAGCUAUAGCGACCCAGCAAAUCAAGCAGUCAGAAAGUAUUUCAUAGCUUGAUAAGUUUUUAAAUUUCCAGAAAAAUCAGUGUAGAUGAAUGGAAACUGAAAUAGCUUGGAAUCUCCUUUUUACCUUGCGAAAUUUCCAGAUUUGAGAACUUUAGAAAUAGCUUGGAGAAGAUGGAGGGGCGGCCGGUUUUCUUUUAGGAAGAAGGUGGGAGGGGUCGCCGUUCUUCUGCUACUGAAGAAGAAACAAAUUUAGGCGUGCUAAGGUUUUGCAAGGGGAAAGUCCGCCGUUUG
rnacentral:lncRNA from 1 species